CUUGGUCAUUUAGAGGAAGUAAAAGUCGUAACAAGGUUUCCGUAGGUGAACCUGCGGAAGGAUCAUUAUCGUGGAGCUUCGGCUCCUUCGAGGGAGAACCCUUGCCUUUUCAAGCACCUGUUUGUUUCCUCGGCAGGCCCGCCUGCCAAUGGGGACCCCUUAAACUCUUGCAAUCAACCUGAACAAUAUCGUCUGAAUUAAAAAAUUUAAAUCAAAACUUUCAACAACGGAUCUCUUGGUUCUGGCAUCGAUGAAGAACGCAGCGAAAUGCGAUAGGUAGUGUGAAUUGCAGAAUUCAGUGAAUCAUCGAAUCUUUGAACGCACAUUGCGCCCUAUGGUAUUCCGUAGGGCAUGCCUGUUCGAGCGUCAUUUACACCUUCAAGCUCUGCUUGGUGCUGGGUGACUGUGGCCCCUCGGGUCCACUCGCCUCAAAGUCAUUGGCGGCCGGUUUGUAGGCUUCGAGCGCAGCACAUUUGCGUCUCAUCGCCCCUCGGAUCGGCUCCCAGAAGCUAAAUCUCACAUUUUUGACCUCGAAUCAGGUAGGGAUACCCGCUGAACUUAAGCAUAUCAAUAAGCGGAGGA
rnacentral:rRNA from 1 species